rnacentral:tRNA from 1 species
UCCCUGAUGAUCCAGUGGUUAGAACUCAGCACUUCCAAUGCAGGGGUGCAGGUUCAAUCCCUGGUCAGGGAA